ensembl:lncRNA
UUCAAGUACAUUCUAAAGGGGAACUUUGAUGCUUGUUUUUAAACUAAGGCUUCUGGGUCUGCCCCUUUGAUUAUUUAAACUCCUGUGAAUUUUCUGUUGGGAAUAUAGUCCUGAAACCUUAUCUUGCAUAGAUUUUUUUUUUUCUCAGUAAGUGAGAGAAAUAUAAGCCAGAAAGUCUAGUGAGAUUUACAACAGAAAGAGAAGAAUAAGACAGAUCCAGCAAGGAGUUUGGAAGUGAGCAGAAAAAUUAAUUGACCUGGGCCAAGGAGGGUUAGUGAGAUCUCUUGAAGAGGAGCAUGAGGAAAAGAAUGUCUGUAAAAUAAGAAAAGUGUCCUAAUUGAUAAGGAAAAUGAUCUCAGGACAAAUCUGUUUGACAAUACGUGAAUCAAGUCUGCGCACAGUCAGCUGUAUGCUGUUCCCUCUCAAUUACACUUGCUUCCGCCCUAGUGGUCACUGCAAAGAUAAUGUGGAUGCUAUUAUGUCAUCAAUCGGAGAGUCUUAUACAGCAUGAUAAUGAGUCUUUUUAUUAAAAAACAGGAGCUUUUCAUUCAUACUGUUGCCCUAUGUGCUAAAAGGGCUUAUAAAUAAAACUUUCCUGACAAGUUCUCCAGAUGAGGUGAGUUUAAGUUAACUUACUGAGCAGCCAGUCUACUUAGUCGCUUCCACUUUCCAGUGCUACAAGAGGAUGCGACAAAUGUAUCGUUAAAUGUGUAACCAGGCCCACAGCUGUUCCUGUCAGCCCUAAUCCAGAGAAGAGAAUAAAACUCUGACAGUAACAACAAUGGCAAUGAUAACUAUGUCAGACAUAUAUUGAUUAUUGAUCAUUGAAUAAAGUCCUACCAUAUUCAAAUAAGAUAAGCAAAGAGCAGUUCAGUAAAACUGUAGCAAAGGUCAAGAAAAUUUCAUAUGGUCAAGUUAGUGCAGUUGCAAACAAGCAAACGACUUUGUAAAAAAUCUAAAUCUUCUAAUACCUGGUAAGGAUCACAUGAGCGAACUUAUUUUCCUACAUCUUUGAAGACAUUUUAUCCUAAGAGGUUUAUAACUCUGAGAAUCUGAUACUAACCAGAAGACUGACUUCAUUCUGUAUUCAAUUUCUCAUGACCUCCUGAAAGGAUGUCAGUUCAGCAUGGCCUCCUCCCUUUUCCGGUUGACUCAAAGAAUGGGGCUUUCAAAUUGCCAUUUGGGAUACAUGAAGAGGUGCAUUUAGAGCCGAUGGGCUGCCACCUGAAGUGUAACAUUCUUUAUUGUUCUUGAGAAACGUGUGCCUAAUUCCCUGGAAAUUUACUGUUUCAAAGAGUCACAAGUCUCCUGAUUGCUUCUCAUCAGUCUUGAAGAGAUUAGAUAAGCUUCCUUCCUCUUACAAAAGCUUUUUCUUCAUUCAAAAUUCCUUUGAGAACAAAACAUUGAACCAGAAUUGAAGUUUAAACAAAAUAUUAUACGAUUUUUGAAAACGUUUUUUUUUUCCUCCCGUGGAGAUCCAGCAAUUCAAAGGAUAUAUUAAUGCACUUUACGAUUUAGGGCUGUGAGCAACAUAUUGCAAACAGCCAAGCUGAACCAAAGAACCAAGUCCCUUCUGUGAAGCAGGAAAGAUGUUUUUCACUGAGUUCUUUUAGAAGACUUGAACAGACUGCUAAGGGCUUUCGCACAGAAAGACCUGGAAGUCAAAUUCAAGAAGUAGAGAGGAAAAAACACCAACUCCAAAACCAUAACAGACCCUGAAAAACUUUUCUUUGACGGAAAUGACCCCUGGCAACAGUGACAUUCUGACACCAUGCAUGAUGCACACUCUUGGGAAGUCUAAAUUUCAUGUCACAAUGGCUCUGUUCAGAUUACUGGUUUCAUCAUGACUGUAAGCCCAAUUAAACCACUAUUGAAGUUUCUAAUGGUCUUCUGUCCACUUUGUAAAUCAUCAUAAAGAAUACUAAGUCAACCAAAUAAAUUUGCCUCUAUGUGACUCAUUGCACAACCAGAGGCAUGAUAUCAAUGUACAGGAAAAAUGAAAA